UGGUUUGUGAGCGGAUGAUGCAGACAACU
rnacentral:piRNA from 1 species